GGCAAGAUGGCGGAGUGGUUAACGCGCGGGCCUGCUAAGCCCGUUCCUUCGGGAGCGAGGGUUCGAAUCCCUUUCUUGUCG
rfam:Sporothrix schenckii ATCC 58251 unplaced genomic scaffold supercont1.2, whole genome shotgun sequence.